rnacentral:misc_RNA from 1 species
AAUUUCUCAGGCUUGGGUGAUAAUUUCUUUUGUCUUUGUCCCCCUAAGCUUGGUUGUUGGGCUUUGCCGUGUCCUUUCGUUAGGGACGGCUGGCCUUAAAUUGAUUAGCUGACCCUCAUGUGAUACUGGUUCUACUCAGCGUGAUAACAGUCUGAUCGCUGAGGACAUCUUUUGGGAUGGCCAGUUCUCAUUUUUUGGGGGGUUGCUUCCAAACUUGGUUUUGCAGUGCCGGAUUCCUUCUGGGUCUGCAUUCCAUUUUUCAG